UACGAAGGGGGCGAGCGUUGUUCGGAAUCACUGGGCGUAAAGGGCGCGUAGGCGGCCCUCUUAGUCGCGUGUGAAAGCCCCGGGCUCAACCUGGGAACGGCGCGCGAAACGGGAGGGCUGGAGUUCGGGAGAGGAGAGUGGAAUUCCCAGUGUAGAGGUGAAAUUCGUAGAUAUUGGGAAGAACACCGGUGGCGAAGGCGGCUCACUGGCCCGGUACUGACGCUGAGGUGCGAAAGCGUGGGGAGCAAACAGG
rnacentral:rRNA from 1 species